rnacentral:rRNA from 1 species
UCAUAUGCUUGUCUCAAAGCUUAAGCCAUGCAAGUGUAAGUUCACGCCACGCAUUAGAACGGGCGAAACCGCGAAUGGCUCAGGAACCGGACCUAAUCCUCGGGACCGUCAUCCUCCUCGGAGGCGAUGGAUAACUGUGGCAAUUCUAGAGCUAAUACAUGUGACACAAGCCGCGAUCGGUCGGCGCGCGUGCCCGCUCGUCGGUAGCACGUCCCGCGUCGUCCGCCUCGGGUCGCGGCGCUACAUAUUAGACUGAGACCGAUGCGCGUCAUUCCGUCCUCCCGUCGACGAUCGGGUUCACGCUCGUUCGUUCGGUCGGGGCCAAAGGGCGGCGCGCUCCGCUUUGGUGACUCUGGAUAACUCACUGGUCGAUCGCACGGGCUUCCACGCCCGGCGACGGGUCUCUCGAGGGUCCGCCCUAUCAACUGUCGACGGUCGGUUAAGUGCCUACCGUGGUUACUACGGGUAACGGGGAAUCGGGGUUCGAUUCCGGAGAGGGAGCAUGCGAAACGGCUACCACAUCCAAGGAAGGCAGCAGGCGCGCAAAUUACCCACUCCCGGCACGGGGAGGUAGUGACGAAAAAUAACGACGCGGGACUCUGUCGAGGCCCCGCGAUCGGAAUGAGUACACUUCAAAUCCGUUAACGAGGACCAACCGGAGGGCAAGUCUGGUGCCAGCAGCCGCGGUAAUUCCAGCUCCGGUAGCGUAUAUUAAAGUUGUUGCGGUUAAAAAGCUCGUAGUCCGAACUCGGGUUCGUGGUCGCUCGUGCGGCCCCGGGGCGGCGGCGCCAUCGUCCGUUGUUGACUUUGGUCGUCCGUACGCAUUCCCGGCCCUUUCCGCCGGUGUCAACCGCUACGCAUAUCCGCCUCGCGGUCCUGCCUGCGGAAACGGCUCGCGUCYCCGCGCGCGUUCCUUCACGGGUUCGUCGUGGGCGUCGCGCUGCACGUCCGUGCUCGGCGCGCUUGUUGCGGGUCGGCGGUUUCUCCUCCAAGGGUGCUCUUAACCGAGUGUCCGCGGCGGCCGGUACGUUCACUUUGAAAAAAUUAGAGUGCUCAGAGCGGGCUGUUCAAGCUUGCAUACGAUAAGCAUGGAAUGAUGGAAGAGGGCCUCGUCUACGUCUGUCGGUCUCCGUCUACGGCGAGGCAAUGAUCGAAGGGAGCGGUCGGGGCCACUCGUAUUGCGACGUUAGAGGUGAAAUUCUUGGAUCGUCGCAAGACGAACUGCAGCGAUGGCGUGUGGCAAGCACGUUUUCCUCGAUCAAGAGCGAAAGUCGGAGGUUCGAAGACGAUCAGAUACCGUCGUAGUUCCGACCGUAAACGAUGCCGACCGGCGAUCCGCCGGCGUUCGCUUCCAUGACCCGGCGGGUAGCCUGCGGGAAACCAGAGUUCGGUUCCGGGGGGAGUAUGGUUGCAAAGCUGAAACUUAAAGGAAUUGACGGAAGGGCACCACCAGGAGUGGAGCCUGCGGCUUAAUUUGACUCAACACGGGAAAACUCACCCGGUCCGGACACCGGUAGGAUUGACAGAUCGAUAGCUCUUUCUCGAUUCGGUGGGUGGUGGUGCAUGGCCGUUCUUAGUUGGUGGAGCGAUCCGUCUGGUUGAUUCCGAUAACGAACGAGACUCCGGCCUGCUAACUAGUGCGCCGAUGUGUGUCUUUUACGGCGGGCUCGUGUGCGCGUGCGGUUCGGCGGCGGUUCCGUGCGGGGUGCGAGGUGGCGUGCGUGUCGUCCUCAAACCUUCGUUUCGGCUGGCUUCUUGUCGGUCGUGAGCGGGGGUGCGAGCCGGCUCGCGCGUUUGCUUUCGCCUUCGUAACACGCCGUCGUCGGCCGUCGUUACUGCGCGGGUCCGGGUCGGUUUUCUCACRCACUUCUUAGAGGGACGGGUGGCAGAAAGCCACACGAGGCGGAGCAAUAACAGGUCUGUGAUGCCCUUAGAUGUCCGGGGCCGCACGCGCGCUACACUGGAGGUAUCAGCGGGGACUUCGCCCCGGCCCGAGAGGGUCGGGAAACCUCUCAACCACCUCCCGUGAUAGGGAUCGGGGCCUGUAACCAACCCCGUGAACGAGGAAUUCCCGGUAGGCGCGGGUCAACAGCCCGCGUCGAUCACGUCCCUGCCCUUUGUACACACCGCCCGUCGCUACUACCGAUCGAACGGUCCGGUGAGGUCCUCGGAUCUGGCCGACGACGCCGCCGGGCUUGUGGCGUGUUCGGCCUUCGGGUCGUCGCGUCACGUUUGCCUCGGCGUUCGAUGCCUGGAGAAGACGACCGAACCCGAUCGUUUAGAGGAAGUAAAAGUCGUAACAAGGUUUCC